CCAGAGUGCUGGGAUUACAGGUGUGAACCAUCUUGCUCAUUCUAGUUUAAACUUUUGAGUGGUUUGUGUCUCCUGAUUGGACUCCUACAAAUACAGAAUUGAUGCUAGGAAGGGUACCAGGAGAUAGACGCACAUGGAUGGGAUUUGGGAAUAGGUUUGGUUAUCCAAGGAGCAGUGCUGAGCUCCUUGCUAAUGGGAUAUGGGAUGCUGGUGAUUUCCAGGAAGUGAGCUCACAAUGACUCAAGCUGCCACAUACUGUUGAUUGUGAAAUGCCAGUUGAAGCAUAUGUCCUGUGAGCUUAGGGGUGCUACAAGUUGACCACUGCAGCAGUAAAGAUGACUCUGAAGAAUGGCGUGGGAUGGAUCCUUUCAAAUGCACUUGAGCAGCGGUCUCCAACCACAGGGCCACAGAGCUGGAGCUGGAUCUACCAUGAAGGACUUCUGAAUCCAGGAAGAGAGACUGACUGGGCAACAUGUUAUUCAGGUACAAAAAGAUUUGGACUGUAACUUAAAAAUGAUCAAAUAAUAGUGCAUGCAUCAAGUGCAAUGGGAAGCUCUUCU
rnacentral:lncRNA from 1 species